rnacentral:rRNA from 1 species
UACAGAGGGUGCGAGCGUUGUUCGGAAUUAUUGGGCGUAAAGCGCGUGUAGGCGGUGAUGCAUGUCGGGUGUGAAAGCCCUCAGCUCAACUGAGGAAGUGCGCCCGAAACUGCAUCGCUGGAGUGCCGGAGAGGAAGGCGGAAUUCCCGGUGUAGAGGUGAAAUUCGUAGAUAUCGGGAGGAACACCAGUGGCGAAGGCGGCCUUCUGGACGGACACUGACGCUGAGGCGCGAAAGCUAGGGGAGCGAACGGG